rnacentral:rRNA from 1 species
GGGCGUGCGGCGUGCUAAUACAUGCAAGUCGAGCGGACAGAUGGGAGCUUGCUCCCUGAUGUUAGCGGCGGACGGGUGAGUAACACGUGGGUAACCUGCCUGUAAGACUGGGAUAACUCCGGGAAACCGGGGCUAAUACCGGAUGGUUGUUUGAACCGCAUGGUUCAAACAUAAAAGGUGGCUUCGGCUACCACUUACAGAUGGACCCGCGGCGCAUUAGCUAGUUGGUGAGGUAACGGCUCACCAAGGCAACGAUGCGUAGCCGACCUGAGAGGGUGAUCGGCCACACUGGGACUGAGACACGGCCCAGACUCCUACGGGAGGCAGCAGUAGGGAAUCUUCCGCAAUGGACGAAAGUCUGACGGAGCAACGCCGCGUGAGUGAUGAAGGUUUUCGGAUCGUAAAGCUCUGUUGUUAGGGAAGAACAAGUACCGUUCGAAUAGGGCGGUACCUUGACGGUACCUAACCAGAAAGCCACGGCUAACUACGUGCCAGCAGCCGCGGUAAUACGUAGGUGGCAAGCGUUGUCCGGAAUUAUUGGGCGUAAAGGGCUCGCAGGCGGUUUCUUAAGUCUGAUGUGAAAGCCCCCGGCUCAACCGGGGAGGGUCAUUGGAAACUGGGGAACUUGAGUGCAGAAGAGGAGAGUGGAAUUCCACGUGUAGCGGUGAAAUGCGUAGAGAUGUGGAGGAACACCAGUGGCGAAGGCGACUCUCUGGUCUGUAACUGACGCUGAGGAGC